rnacentral:misc_RNA from 1 species
GAUGAAGAACGUAGCAAAAUGCGAUAAGUAAUGUGAAUUGCAGAAUUCAGUGAAUCAUCGAAUCUUUGAACGCACAUUGCGCCCGCUGGUAUUCCGGCGGGCAUGCCUGUUCGAGCGUCAUUUGAACCCUCAAGCCCCCGGGUUUGGUGUUGGGGAUCGGCUCUGCCCUUCUGGGCGGUGCCGCCCCCGAAAUACAUUGGCGGUCUCGCUGCAGCCUCCAUUGCGUAGUAGCUAACACCUCGCAACUGGAACGCGGCGCGGCCAUGCCGUAAAACCCCAACUUCUGAAUGUUGACCUCGGAUCAGGUAGGAAUACCCGCUGAACUUAAGCAUAUCAAUAAGCGGAGGA